rnacentral:lncRNA from 1 species
GCCUCAUGUGGAAGAUGAACUGAAAGAUGCACCAUGAUAUCAAAGAAGAUGGGAGGGAAUAUCAUCUCGAGCUUAUUGAGAGUAAUGAUAAUCUUCUUCUCUAAUAUAUCGAUUUGAUUUCGCCUCAAUGUCUUUGCACAUAAGUCUCGAAAAUAAGUUUUCAGAUCAAGUAAUGCAUCGCAUACAUUAUUCGGCAACAAUCUACGUAAACCAACUGGGAGCACA